rnacentral:rRNA from 1 species
CAGGGAUUGCCCUAGUACGGCGAGUGAAGCGGCAACAGCUCAAAUUUGAAAUCUGGCGCAAGCCCGAGUUGUAAUUUGUAGAGGAUGUUUCUGGCGACGUGCCUUCCGAGUUCCCUGGAACGGGACGCCAUAGAGGGUGAGAGCCCCGUACGGUUGGAUGCCUAGCCUCUGUGAAACUCCUUCGACGAGUCGAGUAGUUUGGGAAUGCUGCUCUAAAUGGGAGGUAUACGUCUUCUAAAGCUAAAUACCGGCCAGAGACCGAUAGCGCACAAGUAGAGUGAUCGAAAGAUGAAAAGCACUUUGAAAAGAGGGUUAAAAAGUACGUGAAAUUGUUGAAAGGGAAGCGUUCAUGACCAGACUUGGGCAGGUUGAUCAUCCGUGGUUCUCCGCGGUGCACUCUGCCUGCCCAGGCCAGCAUCAGUUCGCCCCGGGGGAUAAAGGCUUUGGGAAUGUGGCUCCCUCGGGAGUGUUAUAGCCCACUGUGUAAUACCCUGGGGUGGACUGAGGUUCGCGCUCUGCAAGGAUGCUGGCGUAAUGGUCAUCAACGACCCGUCUUGAAACACGGACCAAGGAGUCGUCUUCGUAUGCGAGUGUUCGGGUGUCAAACCCCUACGCGUAAUGAAAGUGAACGUAGGAGAGAGCUUCGGCGCAUCUCCGACCGAUCCUGAUGUUCUCGGAUGGAUUUGAGUAAGAGCAUACGGGGCCGGACCCGAAAGAAGGUGAACUAUGCCUGUAUAGGGUGAAGCCAGAGGAAACUCUGGUGGAGGCUCGCAGCGGUUCUGACGUGCAAAUCGAUCGUCAAAUAUGGGCAUGGGGGCGAAAGACUAAUCGAAC